AAAAAUAUAAAAUUUGAUACAUCCUAAUAAAUACAUGAGUAAGAAUGAGCGUUAAGCAUUUAAUAUAAUAAUUAUUUUCAUUCUUGUGUUUUGAUUCUCAGGUUAAUGAAUGUUUAUUAUCUUAGUUAUGGGAAUUGGAUUGCCUAGUUUGUGGAAAUGAGAAUGCAAAAACUAGUUUUCAAACACCUGCAAAGGAAAUCAUUCUCAUUCAUUCCCAUUUUUAGGUCAAUUUUUGGUGAAUCAAACUGGGCCUUAUUUUUCAUCGAUUAUCCCUUUAAUUUUUCUAUUGAACCCUAAUAAUUUAUAAUUUAUAUAUUAUAAUUUAAAUUAAAACAAUAAAAU
rnacentral:misc_RNA from 1 species